rnacentral:rRNA from 1 species
GACGAACGCUGGCGGCGUGCCUAAUACAUGCAAGUCGAACGCAGGGGGGACGGGUGAGUAACACGUGGGUAACCUCCCAUCAGAGGGGAUAACACGUGGAAACAGGUGCUAAACCGAUACUGAUGGAUGGACCCGCGGUGGAUUAGCUAGUUGGUGAGGUAACGGCUCACCAAGGCCACGAUCCCUACCUGGUCUUGGAGGAUGCUCGGCCACACUGGAAGUGAGAAACGGUCCAGACUCCUACGGGAGGCAGCCGUAGGGAAUCUUCGGCAAUGGCUGAAAGCCUUACCGAGCAACGCCGCGUGAGUGACGAAGGUCUUCGGAUCGUAAAACUCUGUUGUUAGGGAAGCGUUAUCUAACCAGAAAGCCACGGCUAACUACGUGCCAGCAGCCGCGGUAAUUC